rnacentral:rRNA from 1 species
AUGGAGCACGCCGCGUGAGUGAAGAAGGGUUUCGGCUCGUAAAACUCUGUUGUUAAAGAAGAACAUAUCUGAGAGUAACUGUUCAGGUAUUGACGGUAUUUAACCAGAAAGCCACGGCUAACUACGUGCCAGCAGCCGCGGUAAUACGUAGGUGGCAAGCGUUGUCCGGAUUUAUUGGGCGUAAAGCGAGCGCAGGCGGUUUUUUAAGUCUGAUGUGAAAGCCUUCGGCUCAACCGAAGAAGUGCAUCGGAAACUGGGAAACUUGAGUGCAGAAGAGGACAGUGGAACUCCAUGUGUAGCGGUGAAAUGCGUAGAUAUAUGGAAGAACACCAGUGGCGAAGGCGGCUGUCUGGUCUGUAACUGACGCUGAGGCUCGAAAGUAUGGGUAGCAAACAGGAUUAGAUACCCUGGUAGUCCAUACCGUAAACGAUGAAUGCUAAGUGUUGGAGGGUUUCCGCCCUUCAGUGCUGCAGCUAACGCAUUAAGCAUUCCGCCUGGGGAGUACGGCCGCAAGGCUGAAACUCAAAGGAAUUGACGGGGGCCCGCACAAGCGGUGGAGCAUGUGGUUUAAUUCGAAGCUACGCGAAGAACCUUACCAGGUCUUGACAUACUAUGCAAAUCUAAGAGAUUAGACGUUCCCUUCGGGGACAUGGAUACAGGUGGUGCAUGGUUGUCGUCAGCUCGUGUCGUGAGAUGUUGGGUUAAGUCCCGCAACGAGCGCAACCCUUAUUAUCAGUUGCCAGCAUUAAGUUGGGCACUCUGGUGAGACUGCCGGUGACAAACCGGAGGAAGGUGGGGAUGACGUCAAAUCAUCAUGCCCCUUAUGACCUGGGCUACACACGUGCUACAAUGGAUGGUACAACGAGUUGCGAACUCGCGAGAGUAAGCUAAUCUCUUAAAGCCAUUCUCAGUUCGGAUUGUAGGCUGCAACUCGCCUACAUGAAGUCGGAAUCGCUAGUAAUCGC